UGCCUUCCAGGUAUAUAAAGGUUAGAGUUAUUACUCUAACUUACCUGCUUGCCCAUACUUUCUGGAGAUCAGUGGUAAUAUAGUUUCCGAUGUCAUGAAACCCCUCCUUAACUAUGGCUAUGUUUAUAAUCAUCACUUCAGCAUGUCUUCUUUUGAAUUUCUUUUAUAGCCCGCAUAUGGUGUCAUGCAAGACAAUGCGACAUAAUCACAAACUGUUCCCAAAGCUAUUGACACCUGGGGC